ACGCGGCCGCGUGUGGCACGGCGCCGUCCUGGCGGCGGGGAGCUGCCCCGGGGCGCCGCCACGGGCCGCGGCUUCGGGAAAGGCGCUUUAACGACGGGCUUGGGAAGUCCUGCGUGAGGUUUGCUCUUCCUUUUCUGUUGGAAAGCCCUGCAGAGUGACGGCUGCCCGGUCAGUGACGCUUGGCUUGGUUACCGGUGCCGCAGAACUCGAAUGCGAUGCACAGUGCUGAAGGAUCUCAAGGGUGUGUGGAGCACGUACCCGCGCAGCCGGUCUGUGCGCCGGGGCGCUCAGCGCAAGGAAUCAAAGCACCCUUAUAAUGCUGAACUUGAGUUCGAACUCCGAGCGGGCUGUGAGUGCCACGGGAAGCUUCCCCCCGGGCUUCUGGCACGGCCAGAGCCGCGUGGCUUGGCUGAGCUGGGCUGGCUGAGCGCGCUGGGACCUCGCGGCUCUGCACUCCUCUCCCAUCGAGCUCCUGGAACUGGCUGUCGGAGGCCGGAGCCCUGCAAGCGGCAUCGCUCAGCUUUUCAAGUUAUGGGACGGUUGUGCUCUGCGUAAUUUGCAGUUGAAAAUGUGUCUUAAUUAUCAUCAGGGCAUAAUCACAAGAGUUGUGAACAAAAUUUUGAGGAGGAGAAUGAGAGAAAUGGAAAGUCAGUUCCAAGCACGUGUUGAUGCUCAGGGUACAGAGGUCUUGUGUAUCUGCCUACUUUAGACUGGUUGGGGUCAGCGGCUUCGGUCCAUCCAUUACUGGCACAGUUACCUUUGGGAAAUCCAGCUCCUGGCAUUGGGAGGGUUGGCAUAAUGCAAAGUGAGAAUAGAGUAUUGCUGGAGAGACUUCCUCUGCAAUAUAUAUAUAAUGGAUAUGAAUAAGUUAAACAUUUAGAAGAUUAAAAUACAGAGCUCAUGCUAUUGUAGGAAAAGCAUCUAAUUAUUGUGUUCUGCUGAUUUUAUUUCAUAAGGAGAAAGGAGAACUUCUGUAAACUCUCUUGAAGGUAUGAUGGAAAGAUUUCCUUACCAGUGGUUCUCUAAAACCUGCCUAACGAGAGGAAAAAAGUCUUUCUGUAACAGCUUUGAGCUCAGGUUCUGUUUUUUAACUUGAGCGUAUGCUUUGUUAAAGAGCUUCUCGCUGUCUGAAUGUCUCCUUUUUACAUAUUUGGUAUAUAUUUUAUGACUGGCGAAUGUUAAUGUUUCAUUGCAGAAAUCACUUGACAGUGUUGAUGGUAUUACUACAGAGCUGCAAUAUGGAAAAUGGUUUUCUCUGAGUCAAACUAAUGAGCUGGCCUAAUGCACUUCCAUCCUUCUCCCUGUCCCCUUCAGAGUGGCUCUGUGUGUGAAGAAGCAUUCAUGCUGUGGUGUGGUGGUAGCAGAGCGGAUCGGGUUGUGCGUCAGUGGGCUCCUGGUGUUGGGAGUGCUACGGCAUGUCAUGUGGUUUGGGUGCUGGGUUUUGAACUUUGCGUGUUUGUGUGAAUACAUCGGGUGAUGAAUUGUCAUCCUGGAAGUUGUGAGGAUUAGCCUAUGGCUAGGAAAAAGGAAUGAAUUCAGAUCUGAUAGCAAAUAGAAUAAUUCUGCAAUCUUAUCGGCAGGUCUAAGAGCAUUUGGUCAGACUUUCUGACUGGGUUUCGUUCAGUUUCUUCACAACUGGGUAACUGCUGCUUCUGUACCGAGCAGCUGGUGCGAGGCUCAAUUUCUGUUCAGCAUUCUUAAGCACCUUACCUGUGACAUGAACUUGGAGUGUGUUUCUGGGGGAAGAAAGAGAGGGAACCUCUUUAUUCCUCUAAGUGUGAUUCCCUUAUGUAAGUGAAUUUCAGUCACCAUUGGAAAUUUUUAAUUUGAGAAGUAUAGAAAAAGAAGCACACGGCCAUCAUAAAUGCUUAUGUUGCAUCUUUCUCUCUGACAAAAUUGUGAUCAUAAUACUGUUUUAAAAUGUAUGUGUAAACUCAUGGUUUUCUUCAUCAUGUGAAAGAGACCUCUAAUUCAAAAAUAAAGGAAAUAUUUGUUGUAA